rnacentral:pre_miRNA from 14 species
GUCUCAGGAUGGUGCGCCCCAGGAAAUACCGAUCCCAGAGGAGCCUCCAUAUGAAAGAUCCCACGCAGAGAGAGAGCCUUACUCAAGUCUCACGAAAUUGCGGACCCCAGACCCAGAGAGACCA